rnacentral:rRNA from 3 species
UGGAGAGUUUGAUCCUGGCUCAGGAUGAACGCUGGCGGCGUGCUUAACACAUGCAAGUCGAACGGUGAAAGAGAGCUUGCUCUCUGGAUCAGUGGCGAACGGGUGAGUAACACGUGAGCAAUCUGCCCCUGACUCUGGGAUAACAGCUGGAAACAGCUGCUAAUACCGGAUACGAGCUGCGAAGGCAUCUUCAGCAGCUGGAAAGAAUUUCGGUCAGGGAUGAGCUCGCGGCCUAUCAGCUUGUUGGUGAGGUAAUGGCUCACCAAGGCGUCGACGGGUAGCCGGCCUGAGAGGGUGACCGGCCACACUGGGACUGAGACACGGCCCAGACUCCUACGGGAGGCAGCAGUGGGGAAUAUUGCACAAUGGGCGAAAGCCUGAUGCAGCAACGCCGCGUGAGGGACGACGGCCUUCGGGUUGUAAACCUCUUUUAGCAAGGAAGAAGCGAAAGUGACGGUACUUGCAGAAAAAGCGCCGGCUAACUACGUGCCAGCAGCCGCGGUA